UAGGGAAUAUUGCACAAUGGAGGAAACUCUGAUGCAGCGACGCCGCGUGAGUGAUGAAGGCCUUCGGGUCGUAAAGCUCUGUCGUAUGGGACUAACAAAAUGAAGGUACCAUGCAAGAAAGGAUCGGCUAACUUCGUGCCAGCAGCCGCGGUAAGACGAGGGAUCCUAGCGUUGUUCGGAAUUAUUGGGCGUAAAGCGGGUGUAGGCGGUCUUAUAAGUCAGGUGUGAAAUCCCAGGGCUCAACCCUGGAAGUGCACUUGAUACUGUAAGACUUGAGCGUGGUAGAGGCUAUUAGAAUUCCUGGUGUAGUGGUGAAAUACGUAGAUAUCAGGAGGAAUACCAAUUGCGAAGGCAGGUUACUACUAAUGGAUUGGCGGUGAUGGACGUAAGCGUGGGGAGCGAACA
rnacentral:rRNA from 1 species